UUAGAAGUAUGUGAGAUUUAAUGUAAUGUCCUAGAAGUAGAAGUUUCUUAGUAGCUAAGAAAUAAUAAUUAUUAAUAAUAAAGUUUUAUUAUUAUUAUUAUUAUUAUUAUUAUUAUUAUUUUAAUAAUAAUAAUCUGAUUAUAUAUAUAUAUGAUAAACAUAAAAGGAUAACAAAACCUAAACCUUUCUUUCUCUCUCUCUCGUACAUAGCCAAACCCACUGGCCUGAGAUUAUCGAUCGUUCUCCAAGCAGGUCAGCCAACAUACCUGAUUCGGAACUUGAGGUAAGGGCAAGGCAAAAUUAGAACAACCAUGAGAUGGCGGUCUUCUCCAGCAAUGUACAUAUUGACCCCACCAGCCUGCGUGUUGAGUUGUUUUAGACUGGCUGUGUCUGCUGUAUUUUGAAUUGUGUUUUGAAUUGUUGUUGUAUAUCGUCUUUUGGAUAAAUCUUUAUAACAGGGAU